UACGUAGGGUGCAAGCGUUGUCCGGAAUUAUUGGGCGUAAAGAGCUCGUAGGCGGUUUGUCGCGUCUGCUGUGAAAACCCGAGGCUCAACCUCGGGCCUGCAGUGGGUACGGGCAGACUAGAGUGCGGUAGGGGAGAUUGGAAUUCCUGGUGUAGCGGUGGAAUGCGCAGAUAUCAGGAGGAACACCGAUGGCGAAGGCAGAUCUCUGGGCCGUAACUGACGCUGAGGCACGAAAGCGUGGGGAGCAAACAGG
rnacentral:rRNA from 1 species